rnacentral:rRNA from 1 species
UACAGAGGGGGCAAGCGUUGUCCGGAAUCAUUGGGCGUAAAGGGCGCGUAGGUGGCCCGGUCAGCGUGCGGUGAAAGCUCGGGGCUCAACCCCGAGUCGGCCGUGCGAACUGCUGGGCUUGAGCACUGUAGAGGCAGGCGGAAUUCCGGGUGUAGCGGUGGAAUGCGUAGAGAUCCGGAAGAACACCGGUGGCGAAGGCGGCCUGCUGGGCAGUGGCUGACACUGAGGCGCGACAGCGUGGGGAGCAAACAGG